GACGCGUUUGUUUUGAGUAUGGAGGAUAUUCAAGCUGUGCUGCUUUUGUGUGCGAUCUAUUGGUUUACUAACGAGGUAAUUAACAAAACGGCAGAAAAGAGACGAGCAUUAAUACUAAAGCGUAUUCAGAAAGCUCGUAAUGCUAGAUAUAAAAGUAGACAACGUUUGUUAUCAGCUAUAGUGGACAUUGACCGUGAGAUGGAUGGGACGAACGCGCGCCAUCGGGCAGAAAGAACAAGAUUGCUCAACCAAUCAGCAUGUUCAGCGCACAAGUCCCACCCCGAAAGUUCCUGAACUCUGAAAAAGUACUACCUCGCCAGCAGGGACUUUCUGGGGGGGAAAUUUUUACCCGGAACUUCAUUUAGACCCUGGUUCCUGCGGUGUAAACACACUGAGUACCACCCCAAAGUUCCUAGUUCCUGGGGAAAGUUCCUGCGGUGGAAACGCGGCUAUAGU